rnacentral:rRNA from 1 species
AUUGAACGCUGGCGGAAGGAUUUACAUAUGCAAGUCGAACGAGUGGCGGACGGGUGAGUAAUGUCUGGGAAACCUCCUGCUGGAGGGGGGUAACUACUGGAAACGGUAGCUAAUUCCGCAUACCAUCAGCUUUGCCCAGAUGGGAUUAGCUUGGUGGUUGGGUAACGGCUCACCAAGGCGACGAUCCCUAGCUGGUCUGAGAGGAUGACCAGCCACACUGGAACUGAGACACGGUCCAGACUCCUACGGGAGGGAGCAGUGGGGAAUAUUGCACAAUGGGCGAAAGCCUGAUGCAGCCAUGCCGCGUGUAUGAAGAAGGCCUUCGGGUUGUAAAGUACUUUAAGCGGGGAGGCGUUACCCGCAGAAGAAGCACCGGCUAACUCCGUGCCAGCAGCCGCGGUAAUUC